UUUUUAGUAGAGACGGGGUUUCACCAUGUUACCUAGGGUGGUCUCGGCUAGUGUCGAUCUCCUGACCUCAUGAUCUGCCCACCUCGGCCUCCCAAAGUGCUGGGAUUAUAGGCGUGAGACACCGCGCCUGGCCUCUUCUCCUUCUGAAGAAAGGAACAACUGUAUCUUAUAUUUGCCACACAGUAUUUGUUUCUUCAGCUCCACAAAGGUCUGACAAAUGGUGGGACCUCACCUGUUCUGAUGGGGGCUCCCAUUUCUGCCCCUUCUGGAGGACCAGGAGCACUGUAUUGCCUGCCAGAGCUUGGAAGGGAGGACUCUUCUUCUGUCUCUACAGUUGUGCCAUCUUCCUCCAGCACCAGGAAGAAGGGCUUGUCUGCCAGCAUCAGAGUGCCCUGGUCCUGGGGAAUAAGGGUCUUGACUGUUGCCCAAGCUGGAAUGCAGUGGCACAGUCACUGCUCACUGUAGCCUUGACUCUGGAGCUCCACUGAUGCCCCCACCUCUCUGUGCAGCUGUGUGACCUCAGAUCCUGAAGAUCUUCGUGGACAAUCUCUUUGCUAUCGUCCUGCUGAAGCAGGCCACAGCUGUGCGCUGCUUGGACAUGAGUGCCUCCCGUAAGAAGCUGGCCGUGGUAGAUGAAAAUGACACUUGCCUGGUGUAUGACAUCGACACCAAGGAGCUGCUUUUUCAGGAACCAAACGCCAACAGUGUGGCCUGGAACACCCAGUGUGAGGACAUGCUCUGCUUCUCGGGAGGAGGCAACCUCAACAUCAAAGCCAGCAUCUUCCCUGUGCACUGGCAGAAGCUGCAGGGCUUUGUGGUCGGCUACAAUGGCUCCAAGAUCUUCUGCCUCCACGUCUUCAUUUCUGCCGUGGAGGUGCCACAGGUAACUGGGAGCACCUGUCCACUCUCAGCACUGGCAAGGCCAGUAAGACCAGGGAAGCCGGGCCCCUGGCUGGUGCUUUGAGGAGAGAGUAGCAAGGAGAGAAGAAUGGCAGCUGUGAUGUCGUGGGAGGCAGUCUGGGCUUGGAACCUGCAGCCCUAUCUCCACUCCUUGCAACCUGUGUGACUGGGGGCAAGGAGCUCAACCUCCCUGUGCCUCAAUUUCUUCCUGGUCCCCCUUCUGGUAAGGAUUCAGAGGGGUAUACAGUGUUGUCAGCAGAGUGUAUUUUACAGAGAGCCCAGUGUGGGCCAAGUGGAGAGAGCAGCAAAGCCGGGAGUCCAGCAGGGUGUGUGUGUGUGAGCACAUGUGUGAUGGUGGUGAUGUGUGUGUGAGAGAGGGGGAAGAGAGAGAGAAUGAG
rnacentral:lncRNA from 1 species